rnacentral:rRNA from 1 species
GUAGUUAGCCGGGGCUUCCUCCUUGGCUACCGUCACUUUCUUCGUCACCAAGGACAGAGGUUUACAAUCCGAAGACCUUCUUCCCUCACGCGGCGUUGCUGGGUCAGGCUUGCGCCCAUUGCCCAAUAUUCCCCACUGCUGCCUCCCGUAGGAGUCUGGACCGUGUCUCAGUUCCAGUGUGGCCGAUCAGCCUCUCAGCUCGGCUACCCAUCGUUGGCUAGGUGGGCCGUUACCCCGCCUACUACCUAAUGGGACGCGAACCCCUCCUUCUGCGGAUUGCUCCUUUGACCCCUGAGCCAUGCGACUCUGUGGUCUUAUGCGGUAUUAGCACUUGUUUCCAGGUGUUAUCCCCCUCAAAAGGGCAGGUUGUUCACGCGUUACUCACCCGUUCGCCACUAGCUAUAAAUCCGAAAACCUAUAGCCCGUUCGACUUGCAUGUGUUAGGUACGCCGCCAGCGUUCGUCCUGAGCCAGAAUCAAACUCUGA